UAUCAAAACUGAAACCAAUUCCUACUCAUUGAAUCAAAUCAAAAUCAACAGAUUCUUGGAUUCUUUUGAGUUCCUGUUCUUGUUGUUGUUUUAAUUUACUGCAUUAAACUAGUAAGAAACUUUGAUGUAAUAAUAAUGACUUAUAAAUAUUCAUUUACUGGUACUUUGGGUAGGUUGGGCCGCCAGUGCCAAAGUAUGAAACAUCUUCAUCCCAAGUAUGAAUGCUUGUACUAUUUAGGGGUCCACCAUAACCUUGUCUUAUUUUACUUAUCACCAUAAAUCAAGAUGUUUACGACAUGGUUCUGUGUAUCCACAACAUUAUGCCUACCAAUAUGGUUGAAGCACAAGGAAGAAAACUCAAAGUUGUUGUUUUUAACCGACUUCAUUUAUACAAGUGUGUGAAUGACAACUCAGCUUUAAGGAAUCAAUGGAAAGAACAAAGCUGAGGAUGUCCAGUAAUGUUCAUUUAUUAACUUCUUGAAUGCCGUGCCGGUGUAUGAGACACAAAAGAAAUUACAUUGUGUCUCAGACAGAUCUAAGUUCUAGCAUACGACAGGUGAAAGGUUAAAAGUGCCAGCUCGGCAGGUGGUGGCCUAGUUGUACAUUCCCCACAAAAAUAAUUAAGCUUUUAUGUUCUGUUCUUAAAUGGUGUAAUUUAAAUAAAUAUUUAUAUUUUUAAGAUAC